AGUAACGCGUAUGCAACCUACCUUUAACUGGGGCAUAGCUCGAGGAAACUCGAAUUAAUUCCCCAUAGUACAUUAUAAUAUCUCAUGAUAUAAAUGUUAAAGAUUUAUCGGUUAAAGAUGGGCAUGCGUCUGAUUAGUUUGUUGGUAAGGUAACGGCUUACCAAGACUACGAUCAGUAGGGGGUCUGAGAGGAUGAUCCCCCACACUGGUACUGAGACACGGACCAGACAUCUACGGAUGGCAGCAGUAAGGAAUAUUGGGCAAUGGGCGCAAGCCUGACCCAGCCAUGCCGCGUGCAGGAUGACGACCCUAUGGGUUGUAAACUGCUUUUAUAUAGGAAGAAAAUACUCUUGCGAGAGGAUCUGACGGUACUAUAUGAAUAAGGACCGGCUAACUCCGUGCCAGCAGCCGCGGUAAUACGGAGGGUUCAAGCGUUUUCCGGAUUUAUUGGGUUUAAAGAGUGCGUAGGUGGUUUAUUAAGUCAGUGGUGAAAUCCUGCAGCUCAACUGUAGAACUGCCAUUGAUACUGGUAAACUUGAGUUUGGUUUAGGUAAGCGGAAUUUAUGAUGUAGCGGUGAAAUGCAUAGAUAUCAUAAGGAACACCAAUAGCGAAGGCAGCUUACUGGACCACAACUGACACUGAGGCACGAAAGCGUGGGUAGCGAACAGGAUUAGAUACCCUGGUAGUCCACGCCGUAAACGAUGCUCACUCGAUGUUAGCGAUAUACUGUUAGCGUCCAAGCUAAAGCGUUAAGUGAGCCACCUGGGGA
rnacentral:rRNA from 1 species